rnacentral:rRNA from 1 species
CAAUAGCGUAUAUUAAAGCUGUUGCGGUUAAAAAGCUCGUAGUUGGAUUUCUGUCAAGGACAACUGGUCCGCCCUCCGGGUGAGCACAUAGUUUGGUCUUGGCAUCUUGCUGGAAACUGUUGCUGCACUUGGCUGUGUGGCGCAGCGUCCAGCACUUUCACUUUGAGGAAAUUGGAGUGUUUCAAGCAGGCACAUGCCUUUGGACACAGUAGCAUGGAAUAAUUAGAUUGGGCUUUUGCUCCAAUUUGUCGGUCUCUGGAGCUGAGGUGAGAAUUAAUGGGGAUUGUUGGGGGCAUCCGAAUUUAGCCGUCAGAGGUGAAAUUCUUGGAUCUGCUAAAGACGGACAACUGCGAAAGCGUUUGCCCAGGAUGUUUUCAUUGA